GCCUAACACAUGCAAGUCGAGCGGGGAUGCGCCAAAGAGGAUGAUCGUCUGAUCUAGCGCGUCUAGCGGCGGAUGGGUGAGUAACGCGUGGACAACCUGCCCGCAACAGGGGGAUAACAGCUGGAAACGGCUGAUAAUACCGCAUAUGCACACGGUUCCGCAUGGGACUGGGUGGAAAGAUUUAUCGGGUUGCGGAUGGGUCCGCGUCGGAUUAACUGGUUGGUGAGGUAACGGCCCACCAAGGUGAUGAUCCGUAGCCGGCCUGAGAGGGCGACCGGCCACAUUGGGACUGAGACACGGCCCAAACUCCUACGGGAGGCAGCAGUGGGGGAUAUUGCACAAUGGGCGCAAGCCUGAUGCAGCCGACGCCGCGUGAGCGAAGAAGUGCUUCGGUAUGUAAAGCUCUAUCAGCAGGGAAGAAGAUGACGGUACCUGCAGAAGCAGCCCCGGCUAACUACGUGCCAGCCGCCGC
rnacentral:rRNA from 1 species